AAACUUUGCCUGAAAGACGGCAAAAGGUGAUCAAUAACAAGGGUGAUUACCUUUUGGAUCGAUCGUUCUUUGAUGCUUUUUUAAUUGUUGAUAAAGUAAUAUAUUAAAAGUGUCCAAGAACUUUCUAAACAAACGAUAUUGCCGAAUAUUUCUUUAUCUUACAGACAACAGUUGUAUGGUCACUAUAUAAUAUCCUAUCUCUUUAAGCUAGACACCCCUUCACUGGGCCUCCCAAUUCAGAUUUUUCAGGGAAACAUUUGCCAGUAAAAUGCACUAGCGUAGCUAGAGUUUGUGCUACUCCUGGACCCAACAAAAACACACUGCCAACAGCAGACCC